UCCCGGUUUACAGUCGCUUUCAGCAACAGUGUAUUUGUCAAGGGUGAUGCCCAGCGUCUGUUCAUCUUCUCGUCUUCGCAUGAAUCUUCUUCUUUGGCUGCCAAUCUCCACAUGACUAUACCUUCGUUGAGCUUGUCUCACGUCUCCGAUUGUCCUUCCGUCCAUGGCUUUGUCGGUUGUUGUCAUGGUUUUCAGUUCACUAUAUGUAACCCUAGCACGGGUCAAGCCUUUACCUUGCCCUGUAAAGGAAACCGCACAUCCUUGGGAUACGAUCCUGUUGAUGGUCAAUUCAAAGCAUUGUCUUUGGUGCCUACUCCUGUCCGGGGUUAUCAUAUUUGUGUUGUGCACGAGGUUAUAAAACUUGGAGGAGGAGGAGGAGUAGAAUCACGCAAUAUGGUAACCUCCCCACCUUAUUCCCCUCUCACGAAUAGACUAUGCAUUAAUGGUUUUAUAUAUUUUGGUGCUUGGGCUCCAAGACCAAGAACGAAUCCGGUGAUUGUCUGUUUUGAUGUUAGACAUGAGAAGAUAAGUUUUAUCAAAAUGCCUAAGGAUAUCCUGAUGAGUUAUUCAGUGUUGAUAGAAUACAAAGGGAAGUUAGCUUCCAUUGUUAGACACCAACCUUUGAGCUUCCGCAGUUUUGAUUUAUGGAUUUUAGAGGACGUGAAGAAAGGUGUCUGGUCCAAGCAAACAUUUGACCUUUCUUACGAUUUGGUGAAUAUGACUUCCCCGGGCACCAACAAGGCUGGUGAAAUCAUUUUUGCUCCAACAAAACUGUCACAUUGUGCACAACCUUUCUACAUUUUCCACUACAAUACUCAAAAAAAAGACUUGAGAAGAGUUCGGAUCCAUGGGAUUGCUGACGAUGAAGGUUUUAGGCGCCAUUAUGGACUGGUGAGCGAUUGUAAUGUCUCUGUCUCACCCGAACAUGUUGAAAGUAUUGCCUUUUUAUAAAUGUGUUUUGUUUAUGGAUGUAAGACUUCGUCAAACUCUGGUGUUUAUUUCAAUCAAUAUUCAAGUGUUACCUUAGGAAUGAUAUGAUUUGCAAUAGCUGACAUAUGUGUGUGUUUGUUUUGUUAUGAUGUUGCUCAAGUGUUGGAAACUCAAUGCCAUACUUGAAGGCAUGAAUUCCAGAACUUGUUUACUUAAUCCACUAGCAGUGGUAAUUAGCAAACGCAUUUAUCUCUGUGACAUAUAUAACACCCAAGUUCACCCAACUAUAGUCCAACCCUCCCCUAUUUUUAACUCUAUAAUAGCAUUUAAAGAUAAAAUCAUUCCAAUCCACCUCUAUUUUUACCUCUAAAAUAGAGAUUGCUAUUUUUUCCUCUAUUUAUAGAGGAAGAAAUAACAUUCCUCUAUAUUUUGCUCUAUAUGUUGAGAUUUCUAUUUUAGAGAAAUACAUUGGAAUCGGAAGAAGAUUACUAGAUUUGUAGUCACACCAAAAGAAACUCCUUUGCAAAGUUGAAUCUAGGGUUUGCUUGGAACGUAAGGAGAGAGAUGGCAACGAGGACGAUGAGAGCGAUAAGAGGCCAAGUAAGCUACAUCCGAUCCCUUUAGAUCUAGAGGUAGAGAUAAUGAACAUAUUGCCUGUAAAGUCUCUUAUGAGGUCCCGAUGCGUGUCGAAGGUGUGGUCUUCCAUCAUCCGAAGCCAAGGGUUCGUCCAUGCUUACUACGGUAUGUCCGCUGCAACCUGAUCCCGGUUUAUAGUCGCUUUCAGCAACAGUGCAUACAUCAGGAGUGGUGCAGAGCGUCUGUUCAUAUUCUCUUCUUCACUCCAGGAGGGAGAGGAAUCUUCUUCUUUGGUUGCCAAUAUCGACAUGACAAUACCUUUGUUGAGCUUGUGUCACUUUUCCAGGUGUCAUUCCGUCUGUGGCUUUAUCGUUUGUUGUUAUGGUUUUCAGUUACAUUGCCAUGUAAAGGAAACCGCACAUCCUUAGGAUACGAUCCUAUUGAUGGUCAAUUCAAAGCAUUGACCCACCCUGGUGCCUACUCCUGACCUGCAGGGUAAUAAUAGUUUUCGACUGCACGAGGUUAUCAGACUUGGAGGCGGCCGAGGAGGACGAGGAGCAAAAUCUCGUAAUGAGUUAACCUCCCCGCCUUAUUGCCCUCUAACGGAAGGACUAUGCAUUAAUGGUUUUAUGUAUAGUGGGGCUUGGGCCCCAAGACCGAAUCUGGUGAUUGUUUGUUUUGAUGUUAGACAUGAGAAUAUAAGUUUUAACAAAAUGCCUAAGGAUGUCCUGAUUAUGCUGAGUUAUUCAGUGUUGAUAGAAUACAAAGGGAAGUUAGCUUCCAUGGUUAGACACCGAUCUUUGAGCUUCCGCAGUUUUGAUAUAUGGAUUUUAGAGGAUGUGAAGAAAGGUGACUGGUCCAAGCAAACAUUUGAGCUUCCUUACGAUUUGGUGAAUAUGACUUCCCCCGGUACUAACAAGGCUGGUGAAAUCAUUUUUGCUCCAAAAGAACUGUCACGUGAUGCACAACCCUUCUACAUUUUAUACUACAAUAUUGAAAGAAAAGACUUGAGAAGAGUUUGGAUCCAUGGGAUUGCUGAAGAUGAAGGUUUUAGGCGCCGUUAUGGACUGGUGAGCGAUUGCAAUGUCUCUGUCUCACCCCAACAUGUUGAAAGUAUUGCCUUUUUAUAAAUGUAUUUUAUGUAUUUUGGUUUGUUUCUCAAACCCGGUUUACAAGAGUUAAAUAGAGACUGCGUUGCUUAUAAAACCCGAUUAAAGGUUUAAGAUAAUUUGAACGAUUAUGAAGAAUGGAAAUAAGGGAAUUGGAGAGGUAAAGAAAGAGGGAGUUCAGAGAGAUGAACGUGGACAUGUGGUGUUUUUUUAAAAAACUUAGGGUUGAAAUCAAACAGUCAGUUCACCUAUACCGAACCGAAUGUUGAAUUAAAAUAUUCACAUUGCCAAUCGGUUUGGAGUGAGAAACUGCCGCCAAACCGCAUUGACCAAAUAAGAUAUUUAAGAGCCGGUUUUUAACUUUUUUAGUUAAAAGUUAGGAGACGGUUUUUUAUAUUUCGCUAAAAAUUCCACUCUAAAAACCCCCCAUUAAUCGUGCUAUAAGAGUGUGAGGUUCCGAAAACUAAAUGAGUGAGACUGAUGAUUCUAUGUUAUAUUAUUUAUCAUUAUUGAAGUAUCAGCUUGUAAACAUAAAUUUAUGUUUACAAGAGAUGAUAGACUGUGCCAGCAAAGUAAUAUAUAUAUAUAUAUUAUUGCCAAAAGAAACCUUGAUGUGAGUUCGUCUUCCUCUAAUGAACAUACUCUUUUUUUUUUUGAUCAAAAUGAACAUACUCUUUUUAUCCGUCUCCAUCUCUCUUGUGUCUUUAUGGUUUUCUUCAUUUCUUUGAUGAGUGGAGUGUAGACAAUAUAUUAUUUAAUUCAAUUUUGUAACUAGCUUCUUUUUUUAACACAUUUUUUGUACACAUUUUUGUAACUAGCUAGUUAGCUGUUUAUUCACGGUUUCCUUUGAACAUGCAAAAAAAAAGAAAAAUAUCUUAUUUAACAUAUACUAGUAUUUAAAUAAAUCUAACAGUACUUUGAAAAUAUCCUAUACAUUUCGUCUAGUUUUUUUAGAUAAAAUGUAGAAUAAAUCGAAACUCUGAAGUGACAGAAAAGACCUUAUGGUCAACCUUUUGUGACAAAAAAGUGUUUGGAGAUAUCUCAGCAGCUUGGUCAACUACUCAGCAAACAAAGAAGAUGUUGUGGUACGAAACAUCAGUUUUAUUUUCCGUUUCUUCUUUGGUUAGCCUUUUCACACGGGGUGUGAAAAAACAAUUCUAUUGGUUUCUUGAGCAUAAUUAAAGAAAAACACCACCAGGACCUAACAAUAUCAAACACGAAAGAUCACAAAACAACAGAGACCCGAAGAUCAUAUAAUAAUCAUACAAGAGAAAUUAAAACCUUGGAGAUUCUGAUAACAAUGUCCAGGGGGAAACAAGGGACUCGUAACCAUGUAACAGAUACCAUGUGUUUUGUACGUUUGUUAUUGAAUGAGCGUUCGAUCCGGUUUAAUGUCUAAAUGCCGUUCGGUUUACUUUGGUUUUCUGUUUUCCGGUAUAUAAAAAUUUGGACCAUCUGAAUGAAACAAAUGGAGAGCAACAUAUGGUAGUCUCAGUUUCAACUGGGAUCAGGUUUUAUCACAAUGUCUCUUCCAAAGUUUUUCUUUGCCAACAACUUCCAAUGUUUGUUUUUGGGUGUAAAUUUUAAUACCAAAGUUUAGUAUCCUGUUUUUGGACAGCUUUCCAAACAGAUUGGUUUACCAUCCGGUUCAGUAAGAUUGCUCCGACACAAAACGUUUGUAGAUCUGUCUUUAUCAAGGUGACCUCAAAUUUUAAGGGAAAAAAAAAAAAAGGAAGCUCCUUUGGUUUGUCAAAGUAUAAAUAUUGAUGAAGUAGGCAGUAGUGAUUCUCUCUGAUUUACCCCAAUCGAGUCGAAUUUGGAGUUUCAGCCAUGAAACGCAAGGAACAUGAGAAGGACAGGUUCUGCAGCAGUCGAACUAUGUUACAACGGAUCCCUCUUGAUCUGAAGAAGAUGACUAGAUUGCAGGUUAAACCACACCAAAAGAAACCCCUUUGCAAAGUCGAAUCCAGGGUUUGCUUGGAACGCAAGGAGAGAGAACGUAACGAGGACGAUGAGAGCGUCAAGAGGCCAAGUAAGCUACUACAUUCGAUCCCUUUAGAUCUAGAGGUGGAGAUAAUGACCAGAUUGCCUGUAAAGUCUCUUAUGAGGUCCCGAUGCGUGUCAAAGACGUGGUCUUCCAUCAUCCGAAGCCAAGGGUUCGCCGAUGCUUACUACGCUAUGUCCUCCUCUGCAACCCGAUCCCGGUUUACAGUCGCUUUCAGCAACAGUGUAUUUGUCAAGGGUGAUGCCCAGCGUCUGUUCAUCUUCUCGUCUUCGCAUGAAUCUUCUUCUUUGGCUGCCAAUCUCCACAUGACUAUACCUUCGUUGAGCUUGUCUCACGUCUCCGAUUGUCCUUCCGUCCAUGGCUUUGUCGGUUGUUGUCAUGGUUUUCAGUUCAC
rnacentral:lncRNA from 1 species